rnacentral:rRNA from 1 species
CUACGGGCCGCUGCAGUGGGGAAUAUUGCACAAUGGGCGCAAGCCUGAUGCAGCCAUGCCGCGUGUAUGAAGAAGGCCUUCGGGUUGUAAAGUACUUUCAGCGGGGAGGAAGGGAGUAAAGUUAAUACCUUUGCUCAUUGACGUUACCCGCAGAAGAAGCACCGGCUAACUCCGUGCCAGCAGCCGCGGUAAUACGGAGGGUGCAAGCGUUAAUCGGAAUUACUGGGCGUAAAGCGCACGCAGGCGGUUUGUUAAGUCAGAUGUGAAAUCCCCGGGCUCAACCUGGGAACUGCAUCUGAUACUGGCAAGCUUGAGUCUCGUAGAGGGGGGUAGAAUUCCAGGUGUAGCGGUGAAAUGCGUAGAGAUCUGGAGGAAUACCGGUGGCGAAGGUGGCCCCCUGGACGAAGACUGACGCUCAGGUGCGAAAGCGUGGGGAGCAAACAGGAUUAGAUACCCGAUAGUC